UUGGAGCUGCAGCAAGGGCCUGCGAGGCAGAUGUGUGGUAAAGACCACUGUCCCCCCAGCCAAGCGAGCGUGCGGCACAUUUUUCCAGUGGAAAUACCAUGCUGGAGACAGAACAUGACUUAGCAGCGGGUGGGCAACUCAUUCCUAACAGCUCAGUUCUUCACAGUCAGGGACCCCGUGGAAACCAGCUUCGGCCGCAGCUGUGGGAGGAAGCGGCUUCCCGGUGGCUGCUGGGAGAAGACAGUGGGGGAGGCGACGGCGGCCUCUUGGGAAGCCACUGUUUGUGAUCCUCACAGUGUAAACAGCGGAAAACAAAACUCCCGGGUCCGUGUGCACAGACGUGCUGUAUACGGAUUUCUCCUCUGCAUGGGCUAGCUCGUUCCUCUUUCAGGCGUCCCUCCAUGCUUAAAGGUGGCCUUGUCUGUAUAUGUAAUGACGGGAAAGCAGGUAAUGUUUGUCAAUUCCCUUUCGGCCUGGCCUGACUCUUCACACCUGCCACAAAAUACAGCCUCUGUAUCUCCUCAGCCGGACAGGCCUCAAACAUCAGGGACCCAGGAAAAAGAGCUUGGCUUCACGUCACACAUCAUACGCCAAUCUAUGUAAAGAUCAUAAUACCCCCAGGAACAGGGUUACCCUGUGUCCAUGUCAGAUUCCUGAGCCAAGGUUUCUGCAGAAGAAUUCAUUAAAGUCAUGUUGGCAUGUCUGUGGUUUCGAA